UUUAAAUAGCUUAUAUUUA
rnacentral:tRNA from 1 species